UUAGGACCGUCCCAUACCGGUAAGCGUGGUUGCACUGGUCAGCAUCGAUUCAGCGGCACCAUCACUCAGCCAACAGAUGUUCAAGUUCAAUUUAAUCUGGUUAACUUGAAUGCAAAUAUGCUGAGCCAUGAUAAAAUAACAUGAUGCCAACCAUAAUACAUGAACAUGAUAUCAACAUCAUCAUGAGGGUAUCACAUAACUAUCCACCAUAUCAACAAUAACUCAUAUCCACUGAGCAUGGCAUACUGACUAGCAUGACCAUCUCCAACAUCAACAUGUACUACUAACAAGCAUAAACAUAUGAAAGAUAAUACUAGCAGGUAUAACAUGGUCACAGAGUAUAAGACAACAUAGCACAAUAGUGAACAUGCAAAUCUGAACAUUACCGGAACAACAAUAACCAUCUUUUCAACAAGCAAACAUUUAAUAAAGAUUCAAGUUGAAAACAAUGUCUACUGCAUGACUAUCAUGCAAGUGGGUAUUGUGGCUUGCCUAGGGAUGAAGAAGGCACCGGGGAGAAGUGUGGUGAAGCCACGGAAAGAUUUGCCGGAAAACGUUCUCUCUUGGAGGGGGCUGAAUAAGGCAAGGGCAUAAAGGUCAUUUUCACAGUGUCAAACCAUAGUGAAAACAUGACCAACAGAAUGGGCUCUACGAAACAAAGAAGUGAGCGUUGGUUUCACCUGAUUUGGAGCUAGGGAUAAAAAGAUAUAAGGGUUUUACUGCCAGGGACCUAUCUGCAAAAAAUUAUUUUACAGAUUGGGCCAAAACAGAAAAACUGGAAAGCGUAUUAUGGGGAAUGCGCUUCCACUUAAAUGACGAGGCAGUGGCGUGGCCGGGGCUGGUCAACACCUGAGGGACUAACAGGUGGGUCCCACCUUAUCCACUCCCUCUCUCUUCUUCCUCCUCCUUCUCCCGACCAGAACAGGCAGAGGCGAGGCCGCGCGCGUCACCGGCGACGGGCUCCGGCGCCGCAGGCCAUCUCCGGCCAAACGGAGGACACUGGUGGCCUCGGGGUUGCGCGCCGCCUCCAUCCCAGGGCAGAGGGAGCGUCGGGGAGGAGCGUGGACGCGGCACCACGCGGUGGCAGGAGCUGUAGACGGCGGUGGCUGAGAUUUUGGGACGGUGACCACAGAGUUUCCGGUGACGAGCGAAUGGGAUGGGGAGGCCCUACGGGAGGUGGGGAAGCCAGUGGUGGUGGACGAACGGAGGGGGAGGCUCGGUGUUGGGCGAAUUUAAGCCGGAGGGGGCGGCACCAUGGCGGCUAUGGGGUCGACGAGAGCUCCAGAAGCUCGAGCUAGUGGUCAGGGAGGGCUAGUGGAGGGAGGAGGGGAGGCUGAUGAGCUCAAGAGGCCGCGGGGAUGGCUAUAUAUAGCCGGGGCGAGGAGGGCUGAGUUGGCACCGCCGGCGACGCGUGUCCAGCGCCGCGGAUGCGUGUGCUCGUGCAUGGACUCGGGGGAAGGCGACGGCGACGCACAGGGAGGAGCUCACAGGGUGGAAGGGGUCGAGGGACACAGAGGAGAAACGGCCGAUCGCCAUAAAAGCUCGGUCGGCCACAGAUCUCUCGUGGGCGCUCAUUGGUGAGCAUCGGUGAGGAAGAGGACGGAGGGAGAGAGGGGUCCAGGAGAACGGCGACGACACGGGGAACACGCUGGACAUGAUCACGGGCUCUAAGACGACGAGAGGAGGACGGGGUCCAGCACAAGCAGUGCUCUGGACGCGGCCACUGCACACAGAGCGCUCCAACAGGCAUGCAAGCUGCAUGGUCACCACAAGACAUGGCACAUUAAAUGCUCUACAGCACCCAAAACGGUGUCUAGUGGUAAGUCCUUCGAAGGUUGGUCUCAACUACGGUGGUAACUAGGUGAAAGAGGCUCUGAUCAAAAAGAAAUAACCCUCUGAAGUUUACUACAGUAAACUUCAUCAUCUCAAUGUGCUCAACUGGGAUAUGUUAUGGGCCAAACAAGAUGUCUCAGGUGUUUAGGAUAGGAAGGACUACAAUCCUGGAGGUUUUGAGGGUAAAAGGAUCAAGAUUUACUGCAGUUACUUCACAACUGCAUACUUGGUCCAGAAAUGAAGAUCAUGAUGGUGCACUCACAUUGAGUAUCCAAUUGAGCUCAAAUUGGGCAAGGCUUAGUCAUUUGGUCAUAUGAUGAUGCUGUAAAAAGCUCAUGCCAAAUGGACAACCCAAAAUAGCACUUGCUUCACAAACAUCUCUGCUGACCAGAAACUUGGAAUAAUUAUGUUAGUCAUAUGGAUCAAUGCAAUGGUGCCAAAAUGGGUGGAGAGAUGUUUUAUGGGUAUAUGAAUGAUCUGGUAAUUUAUCAGGAUUUUUGAAGCAAUAUAAAAUAUACUUGCUUCACAACCUGAAAAUAUUGCCAGAAACAAAGAUUUGCUCCUGUGCUCACAUAGAAGAUUGGAUGGGGCUAAAAAUGGGUGGAAGGGAUUAAUAUGAGCACAUUAAGAAGUGUGCAAAAGUUCAACUCAUUUGGGUACUCCUAGCUAGUACUUCCUUCACAAAGCCUUCUGUUAGACAGAAACUUUGAAAAUUCACCGAGGAAGAUUGGCUAGGCAAAUAAAUUUGAACUUUCGCACGGGGCAAUUAUUUGGACAUAUAAACAUGCCCAAAAAGGUUUGGAGUAAAUAGGAUAAAUAUAAAUGACACUUCCUUCAGAAAGUGCCAUUCAGGGCAGAAUAGAAAAAGGAAUAUUGGGGAAUUAUUUUUGAACAUGGCAAUGAAUUUUUUUGCCAUAUUUGAUCAAGAUAUGACCCAAACAAUUUAUGAGAAUUAUUUGGGAAUUUAAGGACUGAUGGAAAUAUAGGUUGCUUCACAACCUAGGGCAAUUGGAAUUAUUCCUUUAAUAGAGAAGGAAUAUUCCCAAUAAAAAGAAUAUUGGGAUUUAGACUAGGAUGGAAAUGACAGGGUCUACGGAAAGAUUUGGGAAUGGCAAGCCACUCUGGAAACAAAGAACAGGGCAUCUUCUUCAGUUUCCAGACGACAAAGCCACGGAAAAAGAGAACUCGGGGAAAAACCUCGGAAAAACAAAUGAAAAAGAAAGGGCCAAAAAUCAGGCUAUCACAAACCUUACCCCCUUAAAGAAAUCUCGUCCUCGAGAUUUGGUUGCUCAGGGAACAAGUAUGAAUAUUCUGACUUGAGGAAACCGUUUCCAACUCGGGUAUCCUUUUUCCUUUAUUGUUGUUCCCACUAAAUUUUUAUCUGAGUGGCCCUAGGUAGUUUUCCUUACUGUAUCCACAUACCGACAGUUCUUACCUGGCUUGCUCAUGCUUAUAUAGGCUCCAAUUUCUUUUUAGAUCUACUGACUAGCUGAAUGUGAUUUGAUUAUCACGACUGAAAUAUAUGUCCGUCUUACAAAUCCAAAAGUGAUUUCCGCUAGGUGUGCCACCCGGCACUGACAACCUUUUAUGUAAUGAUGAUCAGUUUUUUCUGAUGAAAACUCAAGCUCUGGCCCAUUGCAUUGGGUUUCUCCAGUAAAUGCAAGUCCUUCGGGUUCCAAACAGUGUGUUAAAACAUAACGUUUCCUGACAGAUUCUGACUCAUCGCAGAAGUUUCUGAAUCAUCUUAACUGGUUCCACUGUCGUGAGUAUCUGAUCCGUACCAAAUAUUUGAUUGUCUCCUAUCAAGGCCAGCAUAAAGGGUUUGGCAUGUAUGAUAAUAUCUGCAGACUUGGCUGACGGUGGUUCUGACAGAAAAUUUUUGUUCAUGAUAGGCUAUCCAUGAUGAUUCAUAUAAAUGAGGACUCAGGCUUCCAGAAUGUUAUUCCUCAUGCAGAUUACUCAUGUUGUGGGCAUAUCCAUGUGGAUCAAUACUGACUUAGACUGUCCGGGGGAUCAGCACCAUGGGGGUCGUGUACGAUUUUCAUACCUGCAUCACUGGUCUUGCUCCUUCAUUAUUGUUUUCUUGGUCUGGAUCCUUGGCUGAAAGAGCUGGGCCAUAUUGCUUCUUCGUAUGACCAUAGGUACUGUCGGUGCAAUCGUUUGGCAAUCAUAGCUUAUCCUCAUUUUUCUGAUAGGGUAACCCAUUAAAUGGCAGGUUCAACACCUCUCAAAUUCUGAUCAUUCGGAAAUGAUCAUCAAAAAACCUUGCAAGAAAUCGACAAAUAAAUCAGUAGCCACUAGAAUGGUCUUUACAACUCAGAUAUGGGACAUUAUUGAAAUAACUCAACCAUGACUUAGGACGGCCGAAAAAUAGCUCGGAGCAUGAUACCGGGUCGAUAAGAAGAAGGUGGCAGCUCCCUAAAAUAGCCAAAAAGCAGCUAUAGGGCUACUGUCACAAAAGGAAACUCAAUAGUUGUACGAGACGGUCGAAAACCAGCUCAGACUCGUGACAGUUGUUGAAGAAAGAAACAAAAAUCGGCAUCCACCCCGGAUAGCUAGAAACAGCUCAGAUCACAGGCGUGGUGCCGUCAUUGGAGAAAAGGGGACAAGGGCUCAUCAGGAUCAUUUUCCAGGUUCACAGGUACUUGUAUUGAGCUCAUUGAUGUCGUCAAUCCUCAUAAUCCUUUGUCACACUGCGGUGUAUACUGGCUUUCUUCUCUUAAUCAUCCUCACGUGGUUAUCAGAUCCUCAUCCGAGGGACUUGUAAGAUCUUGUUGGCAUGCUCAUUGCAUAUAUAUGAGGAUCUGAUUCCGAGACAGACGUGUACUCUGACUGGUUUUUGAUUCUGACCACAAUGUUGCGGAUCUGAUCCUUGGGAUUCACUGCCAUAUGUUGUCAAUUCAUAGUGUACUACCUAGUACCAAUGUUCUACUGAGGAAUAUUUGCUCGCUUGUGCUUGAAACUUUCAUCGGAUAGCUUGCUGAAGAAGACUGGGUAUCGUGCUUCAGAAGCUUACCCCCUUAAACACUUUGCUGGGGAAAGACUCGGUACCAUUAUGCUGGAAGCUUUUGCGGUUGCUUAUUGAAGAAGGAAGAGUACCUUGCACGAGAAAUCAUCCAUAUAUCAUACUGAGGAAGAUAGAUGAAUCUUGCCUUGGAAGCUUCUCUGGUAUCUUGCGAGGGAAAAGUGGGUUGCUUACACCAUAAGCUUCUUAUUGUGAUAUGCGGACCGAUUUCCACAUAUACAUAACAUCUGAAUAUUUUUGCUGUUGAUUUCUUGCAUGAAAUGGGGUUUUGCAGGACUAUCCUCCUUUUUGAGUAUAUGCCAUAUUUUUGCUUGCUUCCAGGUACAUCGAGUUCCAAAAUCAUCCUCAACGAAAAUUAAACUUGUAUCUGAGCCAUACCUUAGAUAAUAUUCUGUCAACCUUGCACACAAUUUAGCUUCUUGCUGAUUUAAUCAUUUUGUUGUGAGGAGUGCAUGUUGAUGCAAACUUGAUACUGACGGUCCUUCUAGGAUUUCUUUUGCAUCCAGACAAGAUAUUCCAAAUUUCACUUCAGUUAGCUGGUAAUUCCAUUCUGUUUAGCUGAGUUUCCAAAUAUAUGCAUUUUUUGCUGACUCUUCGGGUCCAGUGUCGGCUGACGAGCAACUUUAAUAGGGGGGAAUUUGUAAUUUGUAACACUGAAGGCCCAAAGAAAGGAACAACAGAAACGACUAAAAUAAAAGCACACAAGUAUUCUACUAAUAUAAUUAAUCAAGCAAUCAUCACAUAUUACUGCUAGUCACACAAUAUGCAUGCCUACUUAUGCACACAAAUCUCGAGGGAUCUCCGGUUCUUUGAUCUAGCAUGUUGUGAUGAUGUGCACAAGGACGAAUAAAUGUGUGGAAGAAUUGGUGUAAACAGCGCUACACCAAGUGCUAGCUUAGCCAGGUGGCAACCUGAACUAGCUCGGAGGCGAGGACAUACUCGGUAAUCAUGUAGUGGGACACGAAGGUCACAACCACAGUAUUAUCAAGUGGACGGAAAAAGAUCCGUACUCAUCCAAGAAAUAGGAUAGCGGGGAAAAAUUGAGGCUGCUGACAUUGCCCUUUCUUAAUAAUUAAGGUCAUUAAGGGUUGCCAACAUGAAGGAAUAAGAGAACGAUCCGGGAUAGAAACAUGUCCAUCACCAAAAUGAUAGGCGGGACCGAAAGAAAGACAUCGGCGCGAUACCUGAGCACCAUUUUUGCAAACAGUGUCGGGAUCACUUGGUAUCACUCUGCUGGGACAAAAAUGACACCAAACACCAAAAGGAAAAGGAACUGGGGAAUGCAAAGGUUGAGAUGUAGUGGAUCUGAACCGAUGCCAGCUACACUCACCAGAUAAACCGUUAUCACAAAUACUAAGGCUAUAUGCAUGCUAUGAAACAAACAAAUGCAGAAACCAAGUGCAACAAACCAACUGGGGUCUAUACUAUCGCUUUCUAACAUUCACGCGGUCUAGGUUGUCCUACAGCCAGACCUGCUGUGAUACCAAGCGUUGUGGCACCCCGGCUCAGAGAAAUCGGAACGCCCCGUAUUCCAGCCCAGAGAUCGAGGAGAAGUCUUCUGGAAUACGGCACUACUUAGCAUAGAACAUACCAGUCUUCUAUUAUUACACGAAUAUGAAUACAAGGUCUCCGAUAUUACAAUGAAUAACAUCGGUACAGCGACACUACGCCAUCCUCAGUUGCUCUAUGCAAGCAGGAGAACAACUCGAAGCACCGGAAUAACUCUAGUAGCAGAACAACGGCGACGGUGUUGAACUCCACUCCACAGGGACUCUGGCUGGAACGCUUGUCCUAGCUCGCAUGAACGGAAACGCCGACAAGCAAGCAAUCAAAUCCGGCAUGACCUGCAAACUGGCAUGACACGCCAGGUCAGUGCAUUGAAUGUACUUGCAAGCUCACAAUAAACCAGAAGCAUUCAAGACAAACAAUAGUAUGGCAAUUACAAGUUAAACAGGAAUUAUCAUGAUAUCAUCAGAAUAACAUGGCAUGACCAACAUAAACAUGAUACAACUAUCACAACAUGAGCAUAUUAAUCCAACAAUACUAGCAUCCAACAUGAUGACACUAUCAUGCACUACUCAUACUGCUCGGAUUGCCUCAUAACCAACACAUGCAUCACUUACCAACCUCGGACAUCACACGAUCAUCUCGGGAUCAAAUAAAAGCUUGGUAUAAACAAUACUAUAGCGAUCAUUAAAUAACCAUAAGGAGCUUGAUCUUUACCCACAACUCUCGUACAACAUCAUGAAUAUACAACAACUCGGUAUCCUCGAUACCACCCUGAUCCUUACGGCGAGCACAACCAUGACCAACACUUAGUCCCAAACUGUGAUCCUUACGGCGAUCACAACCCGACCAAUACAUGGCCCAUGAUCCUUACAGCGAUCACAACCCGACCAACACCUGGCCAACUUAUCUCACUGUUAUUAAGCAUAUUAUUCUUAUUACUGUUGACUCAUGGUGUGACAUUCUCUCGACCUGGGCCCUUAUCCGCGGGCACGGCUAUCGAUAGAUUUAAUAUAAACUCUGCAGAGGUUAGUACAUUGUACCCACACUACGUAACCCAUGGCCUCGCACUCCCAUUCGGGUGGACCAACGGCGUUCCAACAAAACCGAUCUACUGCCAUGACACUCUCCCGGCUACUCCGACUCACUCCUCACCGAGCUAAGUCAUGGGUGGCCCCGUGCCUACCUCCAGACACAACGACCACCGUUGUGGCCCAACACAUAAACGAUCCCACACAGGGAUCCGCCGACUAUAAUAACUACAGGCACACAAGGUUAGGCUCCGCCUACCUGAUCAGGGUAGCACGCGCCCAUAACCUUCACUCGUAGGAGGCACCGGUGAGAGGCACAACAUAGACCCAGUUAGGACCGUCCCAUACCGGUAAGCAUGGUUGCACUGGUCAGCAUCGAUUCAGCGGCACCAUCACUCAGCCAACAGAUGUUCAAGUUAAAUUUAAUCCGGUUAACUUGAAUGCAAAUAUGCUGAGCCAUGAUAAAAUAACAUGAUGCCAACCAUAAUACAUGAACAUGAUAUCAACAUCAUCAUGAGGGUAUCACAUAACUAUCCACCAUAUGAACAAUAACUCAUAUCCACUGAGCAUGGAAUACUGACUAGCAUGACCAUCUCCAAUAUCAACAUGUACUACUAACAAGCAUAAACAUAUGGAAGAUAAUACUAGCAGUUAUAACAUGAUCACAGAGUAUAAGACAACAUAGCACAA
rnacentral:lncRNA from 1 species